UACAGAGGGUGCAAGCGUUGUUCGGAAUUAUUGGGCGUAAAGCGCGUGUAGGCGGCUUUGCAAGUCGGGUGUGAAAGCCCUCAGCUCAACUGAGGAAGUGCGCCCGAAACUGCAGAGCUUGAGUACCGGAGAGGAUGGUGGAACUCCCCAAGUAGAGGUGAAAUUCGUAGAUAUGGGGAGGAACACCGGUGGCGAAGGCGACCAUCUGGACGGAUACUGACGCUGAGGUGCGAAAGCGUGGGGAGCAAACAGG
rnacentral:rRNA from 1 species